UCUCUCUAUCUCGACUCUAGCUCUCUCUCUCUCUUCUUCUCCUCCUACUCGCUCUCUCUCUCCUCUCUCUCUCUCCUCUCUCCUCCUCUCCCUCUCUCUACUCUCCUCUCUCUCUCUCUCUCUCUCCCCCCUCUCUCUCUCUCCUCUCUCUCUCUUCUCCUCUCUGUCUCUCUCUCUCUCUCUCUGACCACCUCUCUCUUCGUCCCAUAAUUUCUCCUCCCCACAUCCCUCUCAUCAUCCCUCCUUCCUUCUCAUUCUUUCCUUCCUUCCCUCUCUCUCUCACUCUCCCUCUCGCUCUCUCUCUCACACAGACACACACACACACACACACAGAGAGAGAGAGCCGGCCACUGCCUUCCUGGCUCCAAUUAUCUUCAAACACUUCUCUACCACACGAUCUUCACAACAUCCCUCCUGAUUGCGCACAAAUGUUAUCCCAUUCCAAUUAGAUUAAUUAAAAAUAUUUGCAAAGCCACAAGAAUGUUAAGCCCCUUCAUUUAGGCAGAGGGUGAAAUAUAUGUCUGGUGAAUACUGGGAACACACACCACUUGGUCCUCUCUUUCUCUCUCUCCACAUGUGCACACACAUACACACACACCAAGGCCCUUUGGCACAAUUGUGUGAUUUAAAUUACACGAAUGCUGAAUUAAAAUUGUGGUAUUGGUGAAGGCUGAAUUAAAAUUGUGGUAUUGGUGAAGGCUGAAUUAAAAUUGUGGCAUUGGUAUUUUAUUUCGAACACACACACAAGUAUUAACUGUAAUAUUGCUUGGUAUACAAUAUAGUUCACAUACUUCAAAGACAUAAUAGCUCAACUUUUAAGAGAGUACUCUGCAACGAUGCAACAUGACAACCUGAAACAAUGACUUUCUCUAUCUCUCUCUCUCUCUCUCUAGGUGAGUACUGGCGGUCGUUGAGGGUGGUGGCCCACACAGUGGAUCAGUCAUACAUGCAGGCCCAAGGACACAGUCUGAGACGUGGCUCAGAGGACCACAAUGACACCGUCUCUGCCCUGGCCUCUCUCUCCAUGGCCAGCCUCACCACAAACAGGACACAACCAGAUGAACUUAUGGAGGGGGACAGAGACUCCAUGUAGACAAGUGCACUUUCCGACAAACCUUACACACACACACACACAUACACACACACACACACACACACACUGUGAUCCACUCAGUCCUGCUUUACUUGACCAGAAUCCACUGUCUCCAGUUGACACUGUACAGACCAUAUCCUGCCCACUAUAGGCAAACUGAGUAGCUUCCGUCUCUCACACUCUUACACCUCAUCAGAACACAGUUCUACUGGCCUUACUACGACCACUCGCUUGAUUCGACCGCAUCUCAACCGCACACUGAUAACACAUCCCAUUAACAGGGUACAGGAGGACCAAGAGAGAGGAGAAUGAACACUGUCUUCAUGACAUGCCUCUGCAUGCCUCCCUCGUGUGUAACAUUGUGAACUGUGAGGACACAGAAGGAGAGGAGUAGCAGACCUGAGCAUAAACUGGAGGGGGGAAAGAUAUACCAUUAUAAACACCACCGGGGGGGAGGGGUUGAGGCUUGAACUUGUAGCGUGAAGUGACUUGACAAAGACCAGCUACAUGACUGGCUGUAAGCAGAGUCUCUCUGGGGAAGUGAGCUUCUUGUUUAGCCUUCGGUCACAGGUUACCACUGCACAUCGCCAGGCCGACAGAACCGAAUCACACAGAGAAGUAGGAAGUAGUCCCACGUCCCCACAGAAGUUACUAUGAAGGAGAACAGACAUCGCCCCCUCAGCGGGGGGACACAUUUCUUAUUGAUGAUGUCAUUUCAAUUUAUGUGACGCCAACAAAAUGAAGAAAAAGAAAGAAGACUGGGAAUUUUGUUCGGACUUUUUUUCACUGUGUAUUUUGUCAUGUGAACCAAAGAGAGAAUGACAGAAUGGACCUGCGAUUGACAAUCAAACAUGUAUAUUAUCAUACUCAUGUUUUUAAGCUGAUUUAAAUAUUGUAAGUUUGAUUUAUUGCGUAUUGUAUAUCAAAUGUCAAUACAUAAUGGUCAUGUUUUUUAAGUAGCAAAUAGAGAAGGCCUAGAACCCUGUGAUUCAGAAAUUUUCUAGUUGUUUUUCUUCCAAUGCAAAUGUGGGGUGUAAGACUCCCUCUCAGACAGCACUUAAGGAAAAAAUGAAGGUAUUAUUUAUAUCUCAAGUUGAUGACAUCCUCAUUCUUUGUCAUUCGAAUGAUAACAUUUAUUAGGAAAUGAAUCCAAUGACUCACUGUGACAAUUCAGGAAAUCAAUUGUUAGUGAGAGAGGAGUCAGAUUAAACAGAGUCAGAUUAAACAUUCCAAAUGUGUUUCAGGCAAGGACACACACACCGCCAUACGGUCCUACUCUACUCUCGGCCACUCACAAAGUGUUUAUGCAUGUGUAUGUAAAUCACCGCAUUUACAUGUUGUCAGCAGGGUAUUUCAACGUAAUGAAGGUCAAAUAUAACUAAUGUUGCUAGGUUCAAGGCAGAUUAUUAACACAGUUGAACUGACUUCAUAGUCUUAAACUCUGACUGGCACUUAAAAGCUGUCUGUUGACUUCACGGGACUCAAACAAAUCACAAAUGCACUUACAAUGUCUUAAAUGUUGGGAUUGUGUUUUAGUAAAAUUACACAUUUUUUACAUGUCUAUUCCACUCUGACAAUGCCUUUUUUUAAAUUGUUGUUCUGUUGUGAUUUCACAAAUACCAGUUUUUUAACAUGUGGAUUUAUUGACUUGCCUGUUGUAUUUUGUAUCUUUGAUAGGCUGUAUUUUUUAAUUCUUAGUUUUCUACUAUGAAAGACAAGUGAACAAGGAUUUGUUCAUAUCAGAUUAUCUACCACUCGAUUUACAAAAAAAAGUCAGGUAUUUUUGUUCCUGGACCAUACUGCAGUUAGCAUAUAACAUUUGAAGUUAGCACUUAGUUGUUGGAGUCAGCUUGUUAAGUUCUACAUACUAUAGUCAGUCAGCUUGUUAAGCUAGCUGACUAUAGUAUGUAGAACAAUUGAGCACAGGUUGAGAGAAGACAAAAGUUAAAAGCCUUCUGUGAACAGCAUCCCAUUCGUAAAGUGGUAUGGCCUCUGAACACAACUUCAAAGACUUUUGUGAAUUCCUGAUUGUAUUUGUAUUUAAACAGAGGUUUUUGUUCUUAAUAUUUAAAAAAUAUGGAUUAAAAAACUGCUUACAUUUCUUGUUAGCACUUUCCAUUAAAUAACGAUUUAUUUGUUACCCAUGUAAUGUUAUUGCAGUGCCUUGCUUAUGUAUCGUGUUAACAAAAUAUAUUUAUCUCACAGUGCUACAGAUUAAUUUGUACUAUAAUGUUGUAUUGUUCCAGUACUUUUUGGUGCUUUAUAAUAUACAUUAUAGAACCAAUACUUUACAUGAAAAGACCCUGCAAGAGGUAUAUGGUAUUUGACAUUGACAUGGUGAAAAGGUGAUUAUUGAUAAUGAAACAAUACAUUUGACUAUGAUUAUGUGGAACAAAAUGGCCACCAUGUAUUAUUCAUUUUCUUUCAGAAUGAUUCUGUGUUAUAUUUUAUCCUGCUUUAGGUUUAUUUCUGCUUUAAUUAAGUACUUUUGAGAACCCUGUUAUCUGUUUUCCUCAAUAAAAGGGAAAUAGAGUUUUCUCAGCAUACAUUUUUUCCUGAAGUUUAUAUAUUUUUUAUCCCUUUAAAUAUUGGCCAUUAUUUGUAUUUAAUGUUGCCCUUACACCAAGCACUCAGCUAUUUUGGGAAUAUAAAAACGCAUGACUUGGUAAUGUAACACAGUUUGACACAAAUCUUGGUUCCUGCCUUGCAUUGAUACAAAAGGUAUUGCAGUUCACUUAUUUGUUAUAUAACUUAUAAGACAUUGUCUUGUCUUCCAAUGUACUCUGUUAUACAUAGUGUAUUCUGUUAUACAUAAUGUACUCUGUUAUACAUAAUGUACUCUGUCAUUGUGUGCAGAGUGUUAGAAGAGUUGCUUUGAGACAGAAAGAUGGAAAGUGCCUUUGAAAAUGGUCCUGAUCAGACUUUUAGUGGUAUUUUACCAAAACUGUUUUUAUUAUUAUCCACAGGAGCUCAUGUAAUGAAAAGCUGGUGACAAACAAUCUGCCAAAAGAACUACAUCUGAGCACGAGGAUAAAACAUAUUAACCAACUACAUUUUCUGGAGACAGUAUAUCAGAUAUUCCCACUACCUACCAUUACCCAGUAGCAACAAAAUCUGAAUUUAUCACAUUGUAAAAAAAAAAAUACAGUUUACAAUUUUCAUUACACUCUCAAAUUACUGAUAGCAUAUUGCAGUAUUUCCUUAAAAGUAUCUUAAAGAGAAAUUCCAAUGAAUUACUAAACUUACAAUAUUAAAACUAUAUUUUUAUCUUUCAUUUAAAAGUAGUACACUGCUACUUAAAACUAUAAGUACAAUGUUACUUGUAUAUACAACAAUGUACAAUGUCACUCCUAAUUGUAUCUUUACUUUAAUUAAGAGUGUCCAAAGAAUAUGUCAUAUGUUACUCUGCUCCUACUGUAUUACCACGUAGUUAUUUUGCAUGUUAAAUUUUCAUACUUAAUCUAUCACAGACCUUAGGUUUAGUGGAAUCUAUCCACUAUGUCUAAUCUAACCAUAGUCUGUGCAUGCUACAAAACUGUGUGUACUACUGUACUCAUGUGUUGUAGGGAGCCAGCAAAGAUUAUCGCUUAUUACUUACUCUGAUAUAAAGUCAUUGUAAUGUAAAAUGUAACCUUUAUGAAUAAGCAAUUAGCAUAUGCACAUGCUAAGUCUACCCGCUAUGAAGGGAGAUAAUGCAAACAGAGAAAUACAUGAACACAGGCAACAGACAAAUCAAGCAGAUACAUGUAUAUAACUGUUGGAAACAUGGCAGGCUUCUGUGACUUUUCCUACCCAUCAAAUGGAGGUGGAAGAGCCUACAAUUAUUAGCUUAUUAGCAUCUUUGCUGUAAACAUUCAUUGGGCUGGGACCACCAGCUAUCCAUCCCUUUGGCGUCAUUAUUAUGGCCAUUAUUGUAAUUAUCAUGAGCGUAAGUCAUCUCAGUUGUCAAAGAAUCUUCCUCUGUGGAGUCUUUGAAGUGGC
rnacentral:lncRNA from 1 species